rnacentral:rRNA from 1 species
UACGAAGGGGGCUAGCGUUGCUCGGAAUCACUGGGCGUAAAGCGCACGUAGGCGGAUUGUUAAGUCAGGGGUGAAAUCCUGGAGCUCAACUCCAGAACUGCCUUUGAUACUGGCGAUCUUGAGUCCGGGAGAGGUGAGUGGAACUGCGAGUGUAGAGGUGAAAUUCGUAGAUAUCGGGAGGAACACCAGUGGCGAAGGCGGCGAUCUGGGAAGAUACUGACGCUGAGGUGCGAAAGCGUGGGGAGCAAACAGG